GUAUGAUGGGCACACGAGGGCUUUACUGUCUCUUACUUCCAAUCCGUGAAAUUGACCUUCCCGUGAAGAGGCGGGAAUAUAACAAUAAGACGAGAAGACCCUAUGGAGCUUUAAUUAACCGACCCAAAGAGACCCCACUAAUUAACCGACAGGAACAACAAACCUCUACAUGGGCCGACAAUUUAGGUUGGGGUGACCUCGGAGAAUAAAACAACCUCCGAGUGAUUUAAAUCUAGACUAACCAGUCGAAAGUAUUACAUCACUUAUUGAUCCAAAAACUUGAUCAACGGAACAAGUUACCCUAGGGAUAACAGCGCAAUCCUAUUCUAGAGUCCAUAUCGACAAUAGGGUUUACGACCUCGAUG
rnacentral:rRNA from 1 species